rnacentral:rRNA from 1 species
GACAGAGGCCUCAAGCGUUAGGCGGAAUCACUGGGCUUAAAGCGUGUGUAGGCGGAUGCCUAAGUACCUUGUGAAAUCCCACGGCUCAACCGUGAAACUGCUGGGUAUACUGGGCGUCUUGGGCCAUUCAGGGGCGACUGGAACAAGCGGUGGAGCGGUGAAAUGCGUAGAUAUCGCUUGGAACGCCGAAGGUGAAAACAGGUCGCUGGGGAUGUGCCGACGCUGAGACACGAAAGCCAGGGGAGCAAACGGG